UACGGGGGGGGCAAGCGUUGUUCGGAAUUACUGGGCGUAAAGGGCUCGUAGGCGGCCAACUAAGUCCGACGUGAAAUCCCCAGGCUUAACCUGGGAACUGCGUCGGAUACUGGAUGGCUUGAAUCCGGGAGAGGGAUGCGGAAUUCCAGGUGUAGCGGUGAACGCGUAGAUAUCUGGAGGAACACCGGUGGCGAAGGCGGCAUCCUGGACCGGCAUUGACGCUGAGGCGCGAAGGCGUGGGGAGCGAACGGG
rnacentral:rRNA from 1 species